CCAACACCCCUUUCUUCAGUGUCUCCUUCGGUCUUUUAACCUGCAUAAUGGCAAUGUUUCUCCCUCGGUUGUCUAAAAUCUGCACUGACGAACCAGCAAAAGCGGGCUGGCCGCGAAAUGUGUGGCCAUCAAGGGAGAGAACAAGCAAGAUCCUUAUAUCCACCCCAUACAUGCCCCCUUCAUAAAUACAGGGUUGCGCCGCACUGAAAGUCCCGUUCCAUGUGAACCAAAUGUACAGACCCUCUAAUAUCCCCCCAUAAUAAACGGCUCCGGAAACAUGUCUGCCGGAGUAUAUUUUACCGCAU
rnacentral:sRNA from 2 species